AGACCCAGGGCGCGCCGCGCGCCCGCGUCUGGAACAAACGCAACAUUCCUCCCCCCCCCCCCCCGCGCGCGGCUCCGACACCCGCCCCCGCGGGGAGCUGGGUGGUGUGGUUCAGGCGUCCUGGGACGGGGACCAGGCACAUCGGACAGAGCUGGGUGGAGCUCCCACCCGAACGAUGUCCUGGGCGACCCUCGCCUUUCCCAUCAGCAGGACUUGUCGGCUUCUUUUCCAAGAGAGAAACUGAAGUUCAGAGAAGCCAGGGGCCAAAUAAGAACCAGAAGAGGACUGAGGGUCCUGCCGGGCUGACUGUCCAGGAACGAGAGACAUCAAGGGGUGAGAUGCAGGGCUGCUUCUGACUGUCCACAGCAGCUGACUAUGCACACCUGAGGCACCACACGACCUGACUGGCCUGGAACUCACUGCGUAGAUCGGGCUGGCCUUAAACUCACUGAGAUUUGUCUUUCUCCUGCCUGCUGAAAUUAAAGUUGUGCGUCACCCUG